UUACGGUCAUAUCAGUUUGAAACACCGGUUUCCGUACGAUUACCGAAGUUAAGCAACGUCGAAUCUGGUCAGUACCUAGAUGAGUGACCGUUUGGUAAUACCUGCUGUUGUAA